CCCAUUAGAGGAAGUAAAAGUCGUAACAAGGUUUCCGUAGGUGAACCUGCGGAAGGAUCAUUACAGAGUUAGGGUCUUUCAGGCCCGAUCUCCAACCCUAUGUGUAUUUACCUCUGUUGCUUUGGCGGGCCCGCUGGGAACCCCCACCGGUGGCCACUGGCUCCCGAGUGCCCGUCAGAGACCCAUCAAAUCCUGUUAAAUGUGUAGUCGGAGUAUGAAUACAAUAAUCAAAACUUUCAACAACGGAUCUCUUGGUUCUGGCAUCGAUGAAGAACGCAGCGAAAUGCGAUAAGUAAUGUGAAUCGCAGAAUUCAGUGAAUCAUCGAAUCUUUGAACGCACAUUGCGCCCCUUGGUAUUCCGAGGGGCAUGCCUGUUCGAGCGUCAUUACACCACUCAAGCUCCGCUUGGUAUUGGGUCUUCGUCCCUGUGGAUGUGCCCGGAAAUCAGUGGCGGCACAGCCCGGCUUCAAGCAGUAUUAAAUAAUCCUCCGCUUUGGAAGCUCCGGGUCUGGGUCUGCCAGACAACCCCCAAAUUCUCAAAAGGUGACCUCGAUCAGUA
rnacentral:rRNA from 2 species